rnacentral:misc_RNA from 1 species
GUUUAUAAAAACGAACCCGACUGCUCUCUAUCUCUCUCUCUCUCUCACGAGAGAGAGAGAGAGAGUGAGAGAGCGUUGAUCUGGGCGCUCGUGUCUCUCUACCACCCACCACACCUAUCUCUUGCUGCUCUCGAGAGGGAGUAUAGCAGAGUGUGCGUGUGUGCGUGAGACACGUCGCCUCAAACGAAUUGCAAGAGAAAAGACGAAUCCGUUCGUCUGGCUGGCGCGCGCGCGCUUACCGCUUGGAGAGUACUCGCGUGCGUUUAAAAGCGCGCCGCGAGUACUUCCGAUCGUUCUGCGUCGAGUCCCGGAGCUUCUCGCCUCGUCGAGCGGCGGACGACUGCCAGUACACGAUCAGGCUCGUCCAUGAUUACGGUACAUUGUGAAAGGCGCGCGCGGGCGCGCGCGUUUUAUCAUUAUCGUGUGGCAGCUCGAAUAACGGAACGAGUCUUUUUUCUCGAU